rnacentral:rRNA from 1 species
GACGAACGCUGGCGGCGUGCUUAACACAUGCAAGUCGAACGGAAAGGCCCUGCUUUUGUGGGGUGCUCGAGUGGCGAACGGGUGAGUAACACGUGAGUAACCUGCCCUUGACUUUGGGAUAACUUCAGGAAACUGGGGCUAAUACCGGAUAGGAGCUCCUGCUGCAUGGUGGGGGUUGGAAAGUUUCGGCGGUUGGGGAUGGACUCGCGGCUUAUCAGCUUGUUGGUGGGGUAGUGGCUUACCAAGGCUUUGACGGGUAGCCGGCCUGAGAGGGUGACCGGCCACAUUGGGACUGCGAUACGGCCCAGACUCCUACGGGAGGCAGCAGUGGGGAAUAUUGCACAAUGGGCGGAAGCCUGAUGCAGCAACGCCGCGUGCGUGAUGACGGCCUUCGGGUUGUAAACCGCUUUCGCCUGUGACGAAGCGUGAGUGACGGUAAUGGGUAAAGAAGCACCGGCUAACUACGUG